GGGUAUUUAGUCCAAUGCCAAAGACACUUGAUUUCGGCUCAAGAGAUUGGGGAUAAAAUCCUCAACUACCCU
rnacentral:tRNA from 1 species